UUCUAUUAUUAUUUUUUGUGCUCUAUUAUUUGUUCAAUUAUUCUUAGAUUGGAUCUACUCUUUGCAAUUCGAGUUCCCAAAAUUCGCAAUCUGUGGCAUACUGGAUAGAUGUACUAUGCAGAUAUCACGUACAGCUCUUCUGCAAGGAAGAGCUCUGGAUGGGCUAUUUCUGAAGGGGCCGCUCCUACAAGGUUUCUAUGUCUUUGGCUUUUGUUUUGUGGGGACUUCUCUCUCUUCAGUUUGUGGCUUUGUCAUGGUGAUGGUCAUAGCCUUGUAUUAGAUGUCUUGUUCAUCUGGAUUUUGUACGUCCACCUCUCCUCCGUACAGG